CCUACGGGAGGUAGCAGUGAGGAAUAUUGGUCAAUGGACGAGAGUCUGAACCAGCCAAGUAGCGUGAAGGAUGACUGCCCUAUGGGUUGUAAACUUCUUUUAUAUGGGAAUAAAAUGUUCCACGUGUGGGAUUUUGUAUGUACCAUAUGAAUAAGGAUCGGCUAACUCCGUGCCAGCAGCCGCGGUAAUACGGAGGAUCCGAGCGUUAUCCGGAUUUAUUGGGUUUAAAGGGAGCGUAGGUGGGUUGUUAAGUCAGUUGUGAAAGUUUGGGGCUCAACCGUAAAAUUGCAAUUGAAACUGUAGUUCUUGAGUGCGGGAGAGGCAGGCGGAAUGCGUAGUGUAGCGGUGAAAUGCGUAGAUAUUACGAAGAACACCGGUGGCGAAGGCAGUCUGCUGGACAGCAACUGACGCUGAGGCGCGAAAGCGUGGGGAUCGAACAGGAUUAGAUACCCUGGUAGUC
rnacentral:rRNA from 1 species